rnacentral:rRNA from 1 species
CAGUCGCCGCGGUAAUACGGAGGAUCCAAGCGUUAUCCGGAAUCAUUGGGUUUAAAGGGUCCGUAGGCGGUCUUGUAAGUCAGUGGUGAAAGCCCAUCGCUCAACGGUGGAACGGCCAUUGAUACUGCAGGACUUGAAUUAUUGGGAAGUAACUAGAAUAUGUAGUGUAGCGGUGAAAUGCUUAGAGAUUACAUGGAAUACCAAUUGCGAAGGCAGGUUACUACCAAUUGAUUGACGCUGAUGGACGAAAGCGUGGGUAGCGAACAGGAUUAGAUACCCCCGUAGUCCCUGUCUCUUAUAA